rnacentral:lncRNA from 1 species
GUUCAAAAGAUUAGUAAUUUACCAGUAGAAUUAUGAGGAGAAUGAGCUCCAUUGCCUUUCGUGCUCUGCGGGGCUUGGGAUGCUGAUCUUUGGAUGCGUGGGGUUGAGCUCUGCUUUCCGUUUUCAAUAGGUAAGGAAUGCCUUUUCUUAGGUUGGAUAUCAUUCAAAUCAGGGCUGGACUUCUGAGAUGUAAUAACAUGGGCUUUUGCUUUUGCAGAUGCAGUGGCUUGCAUAUAACCUGGAAGAGAACUACUGCUACUGAGCCUGGGUUCCUGAUCAACAUGAUCGGUUUUAGCCAUCCCAAAUGAGUUAUGCCUCAUUGAAAUCCUCAAACCCUUGGUUAAAUUUUCUGUGCUACUUUUUCCAUCCGAAUCAAUAUUUGGAUUAGAUGGUGAUCUUUUACCUACCAAAUGAGACCUUUGCCUAUGGGUAUGCCUGCUAUUAUCCUUCUUACUCUUUUUGGCAUUUACAGAUACAUCGCUAGAUGGGGUUCCAUGAAGAUCAGUAGCUGUUGCAUGACUUCUUGGAGUUCCUUGAGGCGAACUAGCUUGCCCUAUCAUACCUUCCAG